UCCGGCUUGUCGCCGGCAGUCUCUUUAGAGUGCCCACCCGAAGUGAUGGCAACUAAAGAUAGGGGUUACGCUCGUUACCGGACUUAACCGGACACCUCACGGCACGAGCUGACGACAGCCAUGCAGCACCUGCGCUGGCUGUGUGAAGCAAGCUCCACACCACCCCAUGCUUUCACAUAGGCUUAAGCCAGCAUGUCAAAUCCUGGUAAGGUUCUUCGCUUAGCAUCGAAUUAAACCACAUGCUCCACCGCUUGUGCGGGCCCCCGCCAAUUCCUUUGAGUUUCAACCUUGCGACCGUACUCCCCAGGCGGGAUGCUUAAUGCGUUAACUUCGGCACGGAAAUUUACAUCCCCACACCUAGCAUCCAUCGUUUAGGGCGUGGACUAC
rnacentral:misc_RNA from 1 species